UACGUAGGUGGCAAGCGUUGUCCGGAGUUACUGGGCGUAAAGAGUGCGUAGGCGGUCCUGUAAGUUUGGUGUGAAAUCUCCCGGCUCAACUGGGAGGGUGCGCCGAAGACUGCAGGGCUUGAGUAUGGGAGAGGUAAGCGGAAUUCCUGGUGUAGCGGUGAAAUGCGUAGAUAUCAGGAGGAACACCUGUGGUGUAGACAGCUUACUGGACCAUAACUGACGCUGAGGCACGAAAGCGUGGGUAGCAAACAGG
rnacentral:rRNA from 1 species